rnacentral:lncRNA from 1 species
CGGAUUUGGGCAGGGGCGGGGGCCACCGGUUGGGCCCUGGGCUCUGAGGUCAGUGUGGCAUUUAACUGUGGGGGAGGGGGAAGCGGUUACAGGAGUUGCCCUUGUAUUUCCUCUCUGGGACCUCCUGGUUUGGGGGCUACUUCCUGUGUGGGAACUGGACCUCCUGCAAGGCUCAGUGUGUGUAUGGGGGGGGGCACAGCAAAGCUUCUGUUGGCUCUUCUGCAGCCCCCAGCGGCAUCAGCUGGGCAAGGGGCCGCAGUGGGGACACCGGCCAACAGGCCUCCGGGGCUGGGGCUGGUCGCAUCCCCGGCACCACACUGCCCCCUGCUGGUCCAUCUCACGGUAUUUUCCACUCCACAGUCCCCAAGCCUGCCAUUCGCAGAGCCCUGCCGGGUCACUGUCAGGACUGAACAAAGCAUCCUGGUUGGGAAUGGGCUCCAGAGAGGCAGCAGGUGAGCAUGUGCACAGCUGCGCCCAAGCACACAGCCCCUCCUUGGAGGAAGAGUCCGUGCCCUUGUCAAAGCCUCCUUGCAAGGUGGCCCCAGCCCUGCAGGGCCCUCCUGGUGCUCCUGGCCCAGGGGUAAAAGGGAGCCAGGGGCUCAGGGCUCCAAGUGCCCCCAUCAAGGAUCCCGCCUCUGACUCGGCUUCCAGCAGCUGCUCAUGCCCAGACUCCCAAGGGACAUUGGUCACACCACAUUUUCACCGUCACCCAGAAGUGCUCCUGCCCCCUCCCCUCUCCCCAAAGCAAAAGAGGCCCUAAGCACCCUGGGAGGAGGGGGCUUGAGUGGGAAUAAGGAAGCCUUGGCCAGGAGCUUUGUGUGUGGAUAACAGCUGGUGUCCCCAAGGCCCCAUGUGUCAGGGCUUGGUCCCCAGAGUCUGCUGCUCGUGGCCUAAAGGAUGGAACUUACUCCAAUCACGGUGUCUGACAGCAGGGCCGGGGCAGCCAUUAGCUUGGAUCGGGCCCCGUGACUGAACCGUGGCUGCUCCGUACAGGGAGGAUGUGCAAACUCCCUGCCUGCCUCUGCUUCCUGGCUCACCGAGUGACCCCCCCCCCCACCCCCCGUGCAUGUGGGCUGCCGUCCAC